CAUCAGCAGCCUGAGUGAAUCCCCAUUGCCGUGGAUGUCCUCAUGAGGCAGUUGGGAAGCCUUGGUUGAACUGUGAAGAAUGUCUUCUGGAAAGUGUUUUAGAGAGUCUACCAGCUCUUUCACAUGAGUGAACGUGUAGCAGAAGAGGGGAUCCUCUCAGUGAUUAAGAAGCUACAGUGAAUUCUCUCAUGGCCCUGAAGUGUGGUUUGUUCCCAUGGAAAAGAACCUAAC
rnacentral:lncRNA from 1 species